rnacentral:rRNA from 1 species
AGAGUUGAUCCUGGCUUAGGACGAACGCUGGCGGCAUGCCUAACACAUGCAAGUCGAACGGGGGUAGCAAUACCCUAGUGGCGAACGGGUGAGUAACACAUAAGCAAUCUGCCCUUCACAGGGGGAUAACAGCGGGAAACUGCUGCUAAUACCGCAUAAGACCACAGUACCGCAUGGUACAGGGGUAAAAACGAAUCAGUGGUGAAGGAUGAGCUUAUGUCCCAUUAGCUAGUUGGUGAGAUAACAGCCCACCAAGGCGACGAUGGGUAGCCGACCUGAGAGGGUGAUCGGCCACACUGGAACUGAGACACGGUCCAGACUCCUACGGGAGGCAGCAGUGGGGAAUAUUGGGCAAUGGAGGAAAAACCUCUUACCCAGCAAUGCCGCGUGAGUGAAGAAGGUCUUCGGAUUGUAAAGCUCUUUGAUUGGGGACGAAGAAAGUGACGGUACCCAAAGAACAAGCCCCGGCUAACUACGUGCCAGCAGCCGC